AUUGAACGCUGGCGGCAGGCUUAACACAUGCAAGUCGAGCGGGGGAGGUUGCUUCGGUAACUGACCUAGCGGCGGACGGGUGAGUAAUGCUUAGGAAUCUGCCUAUUAGUGGGGGACAACAUUCCGAAAGGGAUGCUAAUACCGCAUACGCCCUACGGGGGAAAGCAGGGGAUCUUCGGACCUUGCGCUAAUAGAUGAGCCUAAGUCGGAUUAGCUAGUUGGUGGGGUAAAGGCCUACCAAGGCGACGAUCUGUAGCGGGUCUGAGAGGAUGAUCCGCCACACUGGGACUGAGACACGGCCCAGACUCCUACGGGAGGCAGCAGUGGGGAAUAUUGGGCAAUGGGCGGAAGCCUGAUCCAGCCAUGCCGCGUGUGUGAAGAAGGCCUUUUGGUUGUAAAGCACUUUAAGCGAGGAGGAGGCUCUUAAGGUUAAUACCCUUGAUGAGUGGACGUUACUCGCAGAGUAAGCACCGGCUAACUCUGUGCCAGCCGCCGCAGUAAUAC
rnacentral:rRNA from 1 species